rnacentral:rRNA from 1 species
GACGAACGCUGGCGGCGUGCUUAACACAUGCAAGUCGAACGGAAAGGCCCUGCUUUUGUGGGGUGCUCGAGUGGCGAACGGGUGAGUAACACGUGAGUAACCUGCCCUUGACUUUGGGAUAACUUCAGGAAACUGGGGCUAAUACCUGAUAGGAGCUCCUGCUGCAUUGUGGGGGUUGGAAAGUUUCGGCGGUUGGGGAUGGACUCGCGGCUUAUCAGCUUGUUGGUGGGGUAUUGGCUUACCAAGGCUUUGACGGGUAGCCGGCCUGAGAGGGUGACCGGCCACAUUGGGACUGAGAUACGGCCCAGACUCCUACGGGAGGCAGCAGUGGGGAAUAUUGCACAAUGGGCGGAAGCCUGAUGCAGCAACGCCGCGUGCGGGAUGACGGCCUUCGGGUUGUAAACCGCUUUCGCCUGUGACGAAGCGUGAGUGACGGUAAUGGGUAAAGAAGCACCGGCUAACUACGUG